rnacentral:rRNA from 1 species
CAGCAGUCGCCACGGUAAUACAGAGGGUGCGAGCGUUAAUCGGAUUUACUGGGCGUAAAGCGUGCGUAGGCGGCUUUUUAAGUCGGAUGUGAAAUCCCUGAGCUUAACUUAGGAAUUGCAUUCGAUACUGGGAAGCUAGAGUAUGGGAGAGGAUGGUAGAAUUCCAGGUGUAGCGGUGAAAUGCGUAGAGAUCUGGAGGAAUACCGAUGGCGAAGGCAGCCAUCUGGCCUAGUACUGACGCUGAGGUACGAAAGCAUGGGGAGCAAACAGGAUUAGAUACCCCAGUAGUCCCUGUCUCUUAUAA